UACGUAGGGUGCAAGCGUUAAUCGGAAUUACUGGGCGUAAAGCGUGCGCAGGCGGUUUUGUAAGUCUGUCGUGAAAUCCCCGGGCUUAACCUGGGAAUUGCGAUGGAGACUGCAAGGCUAGAAUCUGGCAGAGGGGGGUAGAAUUCCACGUGUGAGCAGUGAAAUGCGUAGAGAUGUGGAGGAACACCGAUGGCGAAGGCAGCCCCCUGGGUCAAGAUUGACGCUCAUGCACGAAAGCGU
rnacentral:rRNA from 1 species